rnacentral:rRNA from 1 species
UACGAAGGGGGCUAGCGUUGCUCGGAAUCACUGGGCGUAAAGGGUGCGUAGGCGGGUCUUUAAGUCAGGGGUGAAAUCCUGGAGCUCAACUCCAGAACUGCCUUUGAUACUGAAGAUCUUGAGUUCGGGAGAGGUGAGUGGAACUGCGAGUGUAGAGGUGAAAUUCGUAGAUAUUCGCAAGAACACCAGUGGCGAAGGCGACUCGCUGGAUCAUUGCUGACGCUGAGAUGCGAAAGCGUGGGGAGCAAACAGG